CUCAACGCACGAUGCGCGCUCAAGAGCCAGCUGCGUCAUCCCGUCGCCAGACGCUGCCAUUGGCUCCGCCCAACAAACGGUGCGCAAAGCAUCAAGGGAGCAGAAGGAAGAUUAGCGCAUGCGUUAACUUACCCGUUACCCCCCCGCCAACACAUCUGUGCUUCUUCUGGUCUUUAGGCCAAAAUAUUUUUGAGGACGGAGACUGGGAGGGUAAUAAGGAUGUACGAAAUCUACAUUCUCUCCGCAGGAUGUCCAUCUCUGGCCCUAUGAAUGUGAUUGACUUGAGCUCAAGUGGAUCAGUGAAUCUUUCAACAGGAUUCAUUUGGCUACAGAAUCUGCGUGCUGAUCAGUUUCGUGCUUGAGGGAAGGGGAAUUACCGACCAAAGCUCACUCAAGGGAAACCAAGAUUAUCUUGUUGAAAAUGUGAAGUGUGUAAACGGUCACUGGUUUAUUCCAAAAUAUUACUAGACUAAAAUCAGACAGUGUUCCAUGCAGUUUUACCUAACAUUGGGAAAGCAGCUACGGAGGGUCAAGAAAGUUUCGGCUGAAAUAUUAUGAGUCAUUUUACAUCACAACUGUGUCUCCACCUCAUUACAGGCGUCAUGGAUUGCGUGUUAGGACGUUGGAAGUCAUGACGAGUACUGCAGAAAUUGGUUUGUACAUUGGGUCCAGUUCAACGUGUUUGUUGAUGGAGUUCUGGUUGGAAUACAGGCCUGCAUGAAUUCCCUUGCAUUGAACGCCUUCAAUUGUUUCAGUUGAUCCAAGAAAGAUUGCACAGAUCUACCAUAAGGUGAGAAUUGGGAAUGUUUGGCAAUGAUUGCACAUUGUUCACCAAUCAUCCCUUUUCAGCUACUAAAGCAGUCAAUAUCCAUAUGCAGGAAGACCUAGACAACAUUCAGGAUUGAGCUAAUAAGUGCCAAAUAGUAUUCAAACUGCAAGUUCUCCAAGCCAAGUACCAUCUUGACUUGGAACUGUAAGUCCUUCACUCCAAGGGGUCAAAAUCCUGGAACUCUCUAACACCCCAAGGACUGCUACAGUUCAAGAAGGCAGCUCAGCACCACCUUUUCAGGGGGAAUCAGAAUGGACAAAUAAAUGUCAGACCAGCCAACAACAGCCACAACCCACAAGUGAAUAAAUAAAAUUACACUUGACGAACCUGAUUCAAUUUAAUCUUUAUAGUUUUAACCUUCAACUUGAAUAUUGUGUCUGAUCUGGGCACCAUACUUUUGAAAGACCUUAAGUCUUUGGAAAGGAUGCAUAAAAAAAAAUUAGCAGAAUGAUUCCAGGGAUGAGGGACUUUAGUUACUUUGACAGAUUUGAGAAGGUUGAGUGAAGAUUUGAUAAUGUAUUCGAAAUCAGGAAGAAUCAAGACAAAGCACAUUGGGAGAAAUGGUCUACUGUUGGAGAAGGAUUGAGAACAAGAGGAUACUGAUUUAAUCUGAGAAGCAAACAAACCAACAGCAAUAUGCAGAAAAGUAUUUUUAUGCAGUAAUUGACUAAGAACUGGAAUGCAUUGCCUGAGAGUAAUAAAGACAAUUUUGAUCAUGGCUUUUAUAAGGCACGUUUACAAGGCACUUAGACAAGCACCUGGAGAGGAAAAGAAUGCAAGGCUAUAGGGAAAGGAUUAAGGAACGGGACAAGAGGAGUUGCUCUUGCAGUGAGUGGGCAGAUACUUGUUGGGCCAAAUAUCUGCUUCUUGUAUGAGAACAAAUCAAUGAUUUUAUAUUUUGCAGAAUUAACUGAAACAAUGGACAUAGUAAUAUCUAUGGAUGUUAUUGUAUGAACUUCCAAAAGAUAUUUGAUAACUCCUUAUUAGCUAAAUUUGAAACUCAUGGAAGUGUACACAAUUCUAGUUAGGAAAUUGGUAGAGUGGGAAGAGACAGAGUAGGCCUGACUCAUGACUUGCGAUAUCCCACAAAGAUCUGUGUUGGGGCCUAAAAGCACAACUAUUAAAGAACAAAGCCACCAAUCCAGCAUACAUACAGUUUAAAUAUGAAUACAUUAUGAGUAAACAUAAUUAUGGAAAAUAGAUUUAAAUGGGUGCAAGUGUGGAUAUAAUUUACAAUGAACCUAAAAAACUCAGAACAUUAUCCAUGAUGAAAAGCAUCAAGCAGUGAAAGUUCAAAGAGAUGUGGGAUCUAUUUACAUGGAUCUAAAAUAUUAGAAAUUAGAGUAGCAGAUGGAGUUAGAAGAACUCAAGUUACUCAAUACAAAAUUCUCGUCAGAUCACAGUUGGGAGUAGUGAGAGUAGUUCUGGGCACAUCUUAGGAUAAAUUGCAUCGCAGGGUAUACAGUGUAGUUCAGCAUUUAAAUACAUUAAAAUGAAAUCUAGAAUCCAAGGAUGAAAUUAUGAAGAAAAACAGAAAGUGAUUUGUUCAAAGUUUAAAAUAUUAAGGAGAAUGAUUAGGGCAGAUAGAAAUUAUUUAUGCUGCCUGGGAAGGCUAGUACUUUGGGGUGUCAGCUUUAAAAUUAUAGCCAGAUCUUUUCAGAAGUGAAAUUAGGAGUCAGUUCUAUGCAGAAAUAUACAGGAUUGAAACUCUUCCACAAACAGCAACUGUCCUAUUUCAAUUGUUCAUGUUCAUUUUAAAUUCAAAAUUAAUAGAUUUUUUUUGUUAACCAAAGGUAUUGAAAUUAAGUUAAAUCAAAAUGCCUAAAAUGAUGUAUUGAUGCGUGUAAAACUGUUACAAUGUCACAAUACUACUCGUCGUCAUCUAUUGUGCCUGUGCAACUGAAUUUUUUUUCUGAACAUGUCUUGCUGACAGUGCUUUAGUUUGGGCCAGUGAUAUGAUUGAUAUAAUUGCUGCUGUAAAAAUAAACUUACAAAGGAGGAUUUGA